UCAAGCGAACAAGUGCAUGUGGUGGAUGCCUUGGCGAUCACAGGCGAUGAAGGACGCGGUAGCCUGCGAAAAGCUACGGGGAGCUGGCAAACGAGCUUUGAUCCGUAGAUGUCCGAAUGGGGAAACCCACUCCUUAUGGAGUAUCCAUGGCUGAAUACAUAGGCCAUGUGAAGCGAACGCGGUGAACUGAAACAUCUAAGUAACCGCAGGAAAAGAAAUCAACCGAGAUUCCCAAAGUAGUGGCGAGCGAAAUGGGAUGAGCCUUGCACUCUUUAUUUGUAUUGUUAGCCGAACGCUCUGGAAAGUGCGGCCAUAGCAGGUGAUAGCCCUGUAGGCGAAAACAGUAUGAAAGAACUAGGUGUGCGACAAGUAGGGCGGGACACGUGAAAUCCUGUCUGAAGAUGGGGGGACCAUCCUCCAAGGCUAAAUACUCGUGAUCGACCGAUAGUGAACCAGUACCGUGAGGGAAAGGCGAAAAGAACCCCGGGAGGGGAGUGAAAUAGAUCCUGAAACCGCAUGCAUACAAACAGUCGGAGCCUCGUAAGGGGUGACGGCGUACCUUUUGUAUAAUGGGUCAGCGACUUACGUUCAGUAGCAAGCUUAACCGUAUAGGGCAGGCGUAGCGAAAGCGAGUCCGAAUAGGGCGUUCAGUUGCUGGGCGUAGACCCGAAACCAGGUGAUCUAUCCAUGGCCAGGAUGAAGGUGCGGUAACACGUACUGGAGGUCCGAACCCACUAACGUUGAAAAGUUAGGGGAUGAGCUGUGGAUAGGGGUGAAAGGCUAAACAAACCUGGAAAUAGCUGGUUCUCUCCGAAAACUAUUUAGGUAGUGCCUCGUGUCUCACCUUCGGGGGUAGAGCACUGUCAUGGUUGGGGGGUCUAUUGCAGAUUACCCCGCCAUAGCAAACUCCGAAUACCGAAGAGUGCAAUCACGGGAGACAGACAUCGGGUGCUAACGUCCGGUGUCAAGAGGGAAACAACCCAGACCGCCAGCUAAGGUCCCCAAAUAUGGCUAAGUGGGAAACGAAGUGGGAAGGCUAAAACAGUCAGGAGGUUGGCUUAGAAGCAGCCACCCUUUAAAGAAAGCGUAAUAGCUCACUGAUCGAGUCGUCCUGCGCGGAAGAUGUAACGGGGCUAAGCCAUAUACCGAAGCUGCGGAUGCGAGCUAGUCUCGCAUGGUAGGAGAGCGUUCCGUAAGCCUGCGAAGGUGCCUUGUAAAGGGUGCUGGAGGUAUCGGAAGUGCGAAUGCUGACAUGAGUAGCGAUAAAGGGGGUGAAAGGCCCCCUCGCCGUAAGCCCAAGGUUUCCUACGCAACGUUCAUCGGCGUAGGGUGAGUCGGCCCCUAAGGCGAGGCAGAAAUGCGUAGCUGAUGGGAAGCAGGUCAAUAUUCCUGCACCGUCGUUAGAUGCGAUGGGGGGACGGAUCGCGGAAGGUUGUCCGGGUGUUGGAAGUCCCGGUCGCUGCAUUGGAGAAGGCGCUUAGGCAAAUCCGGGCGCAGGAUUCAAGGGUGUGGCGCGAGCUCCCUCGGGAGCGAAGCAAUUGGAAGUGGUUCCAAGAAAAGCCUCUAAGCUUCAGUCUAACGAUGACCGUACCGCAAACCGACACAGGUGGGCGAGAUGAGUAUUCUAAGGCGCUUGAGAGAACUCGGGAGAAGGAACUCGGCAAAUUGGUACCGUAACUUCGGGAUAAGGUACGCCCUUGUAGCUUGACUGGCCUGCGCCAGGAGGGUGAAGGGGUUGCAAUAAACUGGUGGCUGCGACUGUUUAAUAAAAACACAGCACUCUGCAAACACGAAAGUGGACGUAUAGGGUGUGACGCCUGCCCGGUGCCGGAAGAUUAAAUGAUGGGGUGCAAGCUCUUGAUUGAAGUCCCGGUAAACGGCGGCCGUAACUAUAACGGUCCUAAGGUAGCGAAAUUCCUUGUCGGGUAAGUUCCGACCUGCACGAAUGGCGUAACGAUGGCCACACUGUCUCCUCCCGAGACUCAGCGAAGUUGAAGUGUUUGUGAUGAUGCAAUCUACCCGCGGCUAGACGGAAAGACCCCAUGAACCUUUACUGUAGCUUUGCAUUGGACUUUGAACCGAUCUGUGUAGGAUAGGUGGGAGGCUAUGAAACCGGAACGCCAGUUUCGGUGGAGCCGUCCUUGAAAUACCACCCUGGUUUGUUUGAGGUUCUAACCUUGGCCCGUGAUCCGGGUCGGGGACAGUGCAUGGUAGGCAGUUUGACUGGGGCGGUCUCCUCCCAAAGCGUAACGGAGGAGUACGAAGGUACGCUAGGUACGGUCGGAAAUCGUGCUGAUAGUGCAAUGGCAUAAGCGUGCUUAACUGCGAGACCGACAAGUCGAGCAGGUGCGAAAGCAGGUCAUAGUGAUCCGGUGGUUCUGUAUGGAAGGGCCAUCGCUCAACGGAUAAAAGGUACUCUGGGGAUAACAGGCUGAUACCGCCCAAGAGUUCAUAUCGACGGCGGUGUUUGGCACCUCGAUGUCGGCUCAUCUCAUCCUGGGGCUGUAGCCGGUCCCAAGGGUAUGGCUGUUCGCCAUUUAAAGAGGUACGUGAGCUGGGUUUAAAACGUCGUGAGACAGUUUGGUCCCUAUCUGCCGUGGGCGUUGGAUAUUUGAAGGGGGCUGCUCCUAGUACGAGAGGACCGGAGUGGACGAACCUCUGGUGUACCGGUUGUGACGCCAGUCGCAUCGCCGGGUAGCUAUGUUCGGAAGAGAUAACCGCUGAAAGCAUCUAAGCGGGAAACUCGCCUUAAGAUGAGAUAUCCCUGGAGGCUUGACCUCCUUGAAGGGUCGUUCGAGACCAGGACGUUGAU
rnacentral:rRNA from 1 species